GAGCCAACAGACGGGCCCGUCGAGGAAGGCUCUGACCAGAGCCUAAUUGUAAUACCCCAAAAAAAUGCUGCCAAAGGUUGAUCUUCGGUGCGAGGAUGAGGAAGGCGUCGUUUAUUUUCUCCCGCAAAGAAACCCUAGUGCCCCCCCUUUCCCCUUUCUUGGCCGCCACCCCCCUUUCCCCACACUUGGCCGCCCCUACCCUUCCCCUUGGCUGGCUGCCCCCUCUCCUCCCAUGGCAGCUUCCCUCUACCCUCUCCACGGCUUCCUCCUCCUUCUAGAACUCUCCCCCAAGCAGCAAGGAUCGAGAAGAGGAGGAGCAAGUUGGAUUGAAGAGGAAGAUAUGACCAUGGAGACGUUCUAUCCCCAUCUCUACUUGCAGAUUUUCUUGGGGAAACCCUAGGUGCUUGAUGCUUAUCAAGGGGAGUGGGAAGUAGCGGCAUGUUGCACUCAUUGCUUAAAGAACCAAAUAAUUAUCUUGGGUUAUUGACUUUUGAGGUUCAUACUUUAGAGUAUGACAUAGUCAUAAGCUGGUUCAUUCAUGGUUAAUUGUCCUUGAUGAGAAUUAUAUCAUACUAGUAUGAUUCAUUUUGUAUUGAUAUAUCUCUUUUGCUUC